CCCUCCGUAGCUCAACAGUAGAGCACCCGGUUGAUAACCGGAAGACCGUGGAGCGUCACCACGCGGAGGGA
rfam:Prosthecobacter debontii strain ATCC 700200 genome assembly, contig: EI75DRAFT_scaffold00002.2